GUGUGUGUGUGUGUUGGCAAGAAAGUCAAUUUAAUUUGGAUCAUUUGCAUGUCUGCUGACUCAGCAGCCAGUGGUCAACAUGGGCCUGGCGGCGUCGGGGGUGUUCUCCGCACCCGCAGGGGUCCUGGGUGGGGGUGGGCUUCUGGAAAACGUGCAAAACGUCCCAGGCAGCAGGAAGCAGGCGGUGGCG